UUCUUCAGACGCUUCUCCAACUUUUGGUAAUGGUUAUCCCUUUUGUUUGAGUUAAACCAUUGUUUAGAAUUUAAGUCAUCACUUGUUGUAUUCGUGUAUUCUUUGUCCCAAAUACAACUCGUGUGACACUAUCCUCUGCACUUUGGUGACGCAAAAACUAUAGUUGCAUACAACAAAUCGGUAAGUAAUUACAUUUUGGUAAUAAAGGUAAACGCCAUCCAUAAUUUAUUUUUAGAUAAAAAAGCCAUUGGAUGAAAAGUGGCGGUACAAACAUGUAGAUGUACAAUGCUCACAUUUUGGCAAGCACAAGUCUAGAUCAGCUGGAAUUAGGCCGAAUCAAAGCGUUUACUCAGUUGGGUGCCCUUUCCACUUCAGGGUAGUUUUCUUUCCCUUGCUUGGCAAGUUUAAGGUUUCUUCUUGUAAUUUGGAGCAUAAAAACCAUGCUAUUUCAAAGGAUCAUAUCGAACUAUACCGUAGAAAACAGAAGCUUAAAGAAAACCCUGCUGCGUAUCAAUUUGCCACUUCCGCUUUAGCUGUUGGAGGGAAUGCAACGCUAACUAGAAAAGAAAUGAGCCAAACCUGGGGCCAUUUCUUGAAAAGGAAGGACCUUCAAAACAUGAAACAGGCAAUGACAGGAUUGUCUUCGGAAGUGUGGCAAUCUACUACGGAAAUACUUGCUAACUUGACAAGCAAUACAGAAAACAUCGUGAACGUAACCUCUGACGAAAAAGGGGAAAUAAAAUGCAUUUACGUCCAAUUGUCGGAGCAAAGAAGAUUUUAUCAACGCUAUGGCGAAGUGCUUCAACUCGAUGGAACCCAUAGCCCAUAGCCAUGGAACCCAUUUCCGUAACCAUUUGGCGGGCUUAUGGGGAAAAUUGCCCAACCCAGCUUCCCUUAUAUACGCGCCAAAAAUGUUCAAAACCCCGUUGGUAAAAGUAGCGAUUUUUCAAAAUUCAUAACUUUUUACUAUUAAUUUUAAUUCAUUUCUGAAAAAUGAACAAUACAUAUAAAGCUAUUUUCUAUAGGAAUAAAAAUUUUGGUAGCUAUGAAAACAUUACAACUAAAAAAAAAAAUCGAAAAACAUGUUUUUUUCCUAUACCUCCCUAACAAUCUCGACUACGUUGUUUAGCAGCGCCAACUACAUCCCUGAAAACGACGACACUUUUCAGGGAUAGGAGUGUCCCUUCCAUUAAGCUCUUAUACCAUGCUUGGAGCGUGGAAGGUGGAACAGUAUAUCGUGUAAAUUAUCGUGGGCAACACUGAGCAUCGCAAUCCCUGGAUGAAAAAAAAAAAAAAACUCCGCGCCGAAUCGACGAAAAAGUUCUCUGAUCUACGUGGGGCCGAGUCCUAUCUAUACGUCUUGAUAUAUAACUUCACUGCUAACGCAGUAAUUCUUGUACUUGCUUUUAUUAUGCGGUCAUGCACAAAUUCGCCAUUUUUUUUUCGUGCAAGAAGGCGUACAAACUUACUGCCCUUAUCCUUUCCUUUCUAAAAGUAAUACAUGACAGAGAACAAGCAAUGUAUGCAAAGAAUAAAAUGUUUUGAGAAACAG